GCUCAUCCAUCCUCCAUGGACUCUGUCAAUUUUAGUGAUCAGCCUGUCUUUUCAGUUUGUCCAUUCUAUAUUGCUUUCCCACGAAAAAAGAAUAAAACUUCAUUGCAAUUGUAAUUGAUGCCCAUAUGGUUUAUCAGGGUGAGUGGUGUACUUGAGGUCACCAGAUUCCAUCUCCAAGUUUGCUUAUUGUUGCUCCAAGGUCUCCACAAUUCAACUUAUCUGAGGAAGUUUUACAACUUCUUUUAUGUUCUUGCCUUUCACAUAAUUCUAUGAGAGAUGGAUGGUGAAGUGAUAGUUGUGGCAGUUGAUGCAAGUAAAGAGAUAACGGAUUAUGCUCUCGAAUGGGCAGUGCGCAAUCUGACCAAGACUUCGGACUCUGUAUUCCUAUUUGCCGUUCUUCCUUCUAAAGCUCCCGCUGGUGCCGAUAGGACACAUAAGUCUAAGACAUCGUGGUUUUUCUCUGGCUUGCUCAAGAAGUGGGGUCUCAGCCACAAUGACAAGAUUUCGUUAGAUAACAUGGCCCGAGCACUCAACGAUGGAGUAGAAACUGAUGUAAACCUGAAGGUGAAAGGUGUUUGUGAGCUUAUGAUGUGGCACGUAUUUUCGGCUCACAAAAUCAAGCAGGUGCACAGUAUAGUCAAAGUCAUAACAGAUGCACAGCCAGGGUCAGUUGCGACUGCAGCUGGAGAGCUUGGAGCAACCUGGGUAGUUCUAGAUAGACGGUUGAAGAAAGAGGGUGACAACUGUUUGAAACAAUUGAUCUGUAACAUAGUACUUGUAGACCACGCCAUCCCAAGGAUCCUGAGAGCAGUUAAUCCCCAUAUUCAGAAGAAAGUUAACACUAAAGUGGACCAAAAUGACCCCACAGUAGCUGACAUGCUUGGCGUAGUUACUGCAUACAACUAUAAAGAUAAUAGCAGUCCAGCGAUUCAUAGCAGUCUCGGGUUUGGAAGUCCAAAUAUUAAGGCAGACACAUCGUCCUCACUUUCUACCACAGAGAAGGACCCCUUUUACUUGCUCAAUGCUACCACUAGAGAUGUGACGCUGUACAGUUCGCGUAUACAUCUCAAUUCUCAGUAUUUCCACCAGGAGACGAAAAUCCAGGCUGCAUUCAAACCCUCUGUGGAAAAUACUAAUCAUCAAUCGGUGAGGAAGGUGUCAAACUCCAACAUUGACGAGACACUUCUUAGAGCAUCAGCUACUCCUUUGGAGCCAAAAAGGAAAAGCUAUAGUGGUCCUCUGAAGACUAAAAGCGAAAUGGCAAAGGGUAAUAAUCUUAAAGCAGUGAACAUGGUUCCAGUCCCAGCGAGACGAUCAGUAGAUUCAUCACGCUUAUGGCAAAAAGCAGACAGCCCACAACAGUCAAAAGAGCUGAUCACAAGAAAAGACCCUUCAACUUUCCACGACAAUCAACCAACAGCAGUCCCUUCUAUUAGUAUUCCACGAAUAUCGAGUGUCAGGAGAGCUGUGUCUCUCUCAAUUAAACAUCCCCCGACACCUCCACCUCUCUGCUCUGUCUGUAAGCUUAAUGCUCCGCAUUUUGGUAAGGCUCCUAGGAAGUUCAGUUACGAAGAGAUUGAAAGAGCUACCAAUAAAUUCGCAGCAGAAAACUUCUUGGCAGAAGGUGGAUUUGGUCCUGUCUAUAGAGGAGUGUUAGCCGAUGGACAAGUCGUUGCAGUGAAGCAGCACAAGUUCUUGAGUGCACAAGGUGCAUCAGAGUUCUGUUCCGAAAUUGAAGUGCUGAGUUGUGCACAGCAUAAGAACUUGGUGAUGUUAGUGGGCUAUUGCAUCGAAACAGAAUGGCUCCUCAUAUAUGAGUUUGCUUGCAAUGGUUCAUUGGACAAGCAUCUGUACGGAAAAGAGUCAUCCGAGUUGCUGACCUGGCCUAAUCGGAUGAAGGUUGCAAUAGGAGCUGCAAGAGGCUUGAGAUAUCUUCAUGAAGAUUGUCGAGUCGGAUGCAUUAUACAUAGAGACUUCAGGCCCAACAACAUCCUCCUCACCCAUGACUUUGAACCCAUGGUGGGUGAUUUUGGCCUAGCAAGGUGGCAAGCAGAUGGCCAAGCAGCCGAGGAGACACGGGUUGUUGGUGCAUUUGGGUACUUGGCUCCAGAGUAUACUCAGACUGGGCUUAUAACAGAGAAAGCUGAUGUAUAUGCAUAUGGGAUAGUUCUGUUGGAGCUACUAAGUGGCUUUAAGGCCACUGAUUUUUCAAGAAGUACUGGAAAACAGUUUGUGUCUGAUUGGGCAAGUCUUCUCACCAUCUUGCAUUACACUGCAUAGGAGAAACUUCAAAGAACCAUUAUUUUGUUAGUUUAUAACUGGGCCUUCCGUUGCUGAAAAGGGGGAUGAUUAAUGGGAUAAUAGAUCCACAACUGUUAGACAAGUGCGUAAAAUGGGAAGUGGAUGCCAUGAUGCACGCUGCAGAAUUGUGUCUCUCACCACUGCCAGAACAAAGACCAAGGAUGUCGCAGGUGUUGAAAAUACUGGAUGGAGAUAUGCCUGGUAUGGCUUUGGCUUUGCCGCAGCAUAACCCAAAUGAACAUGUUGACGGCCAAACCACCUCCUGGGUGAUGCAUCAUAAUGUGAACAAAAAUCCUUCCAGAGUGAGUGAACCAAAACGAAAUGGCCAAGAUACUACAUGCGAGCCAGCAUUGCUUUUGGAUGGUUCUGGAGUGGAAAGAAGUCCUCAUGCUUCAAAUUGUUCAGAGAUGCUCGUAAGUGAAGAAUACCAGGCAUAUUUACGGGGUUCAUUGGCCAAAUUUAUACAGGAUAUGAGGGUACAUUAAUGGUAACAUGUAGUAGCUGAACAAGUGAUUAUAUUGGAUGAAUCAGUGUUGUAAAGUUUUUGUGAACGGUAUAGUUAACGCAUAGAAUUGCAAUUGCUGAGUACGAGGCUUAAGCAGAAGCAUCUUCUGACCAGGCAUAUAUCGGUGUUCACCACACAAGACCCUUCAAUGUUUAUCUACACAGUGACGAGUUUCUACUUUCUCCAUAAAGUUAGUAUUCAUAAGAUUCUUGUGUGAGCA